rnacentral:rRNA from 1 species
CAGCAGCCGCGGUAAUACGAAGGGUGCAAGCGUUAAUCGGAAUUACUGGGCGUAAAGCGUGCGUAGGCGGUGAGUUAAGUCUGCUGUGAAAUCCCCGGGCUCAACCUGGGAAUGGCAGUGGAUACUGGCUCGCUAGAGUGUGUCAGAGGAUGGUGGAACUCCCGGUGUAGCGGUGAAAUGCGUAGAGAUCGGGAGGAACAUCAGUGGCGAAGGCGGCCAUCUGGGACAACACUGACGCUGAGGCACGAAAGCGUGGGGAGCAAACAGGAUUAGAUACCCCCGUAGUCCCUGUCUCUUAUAC